UUAAUUGAAGCCAAAAUAGAGGCCUUUCAUUGUUAAUGAAAUAAAUGAUAUAAAUUAUCCGAUUAAA
rnacentral:tRNA from 1 species